CCAGGAGGAUAUUGCAGUACUUAUCAGCCACUGAAGUGUACCAGAUAAAGCCGUCCCAAGGACUCUCCUGGGAAGAGGGAGACACUGUCGCUACAUCCCUGCCAUAUUUCAGUAAAGAUACAGGCCUCUGGAGAUGGAACCUUUAGUGGGGAUUUAUCAUAAUGACAGGAAUUGUCCUCUUCAACCUCCAGAACAGAAGACAGAAUCUCUGCCACCCAAAUACGAGGGUAUAGUCUCUUACUGACUGAAGUUUUCCUCACUGGACUGUCUCUGGAAAAGGUGAAAAAUUCUUCUGAUUAUCAGAUUAUGAGUAACUUCUAACUUAAAGGGAGUCUGACACCUCCUCCAAGCCGUGUGAAGUACAGCACUGCAUGAAUAGUACUGCUGCCCCUGACUCCAGAUCACUAAUUUAUA